UAAUCAAAAACCUUGAGGACAACAUUCGAGGGUUUUUAAUUUCUUCUUCGAUUGAUGAUUUUGGGCGUUUCGGCAUCUGUUUAUAUUUUCUCACUCAUUUCCAACAAAGCCAUUAUUGAUUUCAGAAUUCAGACCAUAAUCCCUGGCUCUCGCCAUCCGUAAGUUCGCUUUUCUUUAUAUACGCAAGGUGGUUGUCAUUCUCUCUGAUUCUUGGAGAAGGGUUGGUUCAAGUUACGGGCUUUCAGAUUGCUUUGCCAAAUUCGUGGCAGAUCUAUUAUUUCCUUUCUAUGGGUUUUGGAAACUCCUACCCAGCUUAGCCUGUGUAAUUUUUUGAUCAGAAAAUCAUUUUAAUUGCCUGGUUCUGGGGCGAAAGCACUUUUUUUUUGUUCUUGUAGAAAUCACAAUUCAUCGAAUUUUUCUUGCUAAGGUCCUCUGGUGGACUUUUAGUUGUUUGUCACGCAAUAUUUAAUCCGAUUCUCGGGCUCAUCUUUUGGAGAUUUUGAAUAGAACAUCAGUAUCUCGUAUACUCAACAAGUAAUCGUGUUCUAGGGUUUCUCCUGGGGAUUCCAAGGCACUUUCAUCGACUUGUAGUAUUUGGCAAUAGGUUGAGGGGAAGAAAUGAGUACUCCUAAAAGAAGAAACUUCCAGAUAGAGGCCUUUAAACAUCGGGUGGUGGUGGAUCCCAAGUACGCAGAGAAGACAUGGAAAAUACUAGAGCAUGCAAUCCACGAGAUAUAUAAUCACAAUGCCAGCGGGCUCAGUUUUGAAGAGCUUUACAGGAAUGCUUACAAUAUGGUGCUGCACAAAUUUGGAGAGAAGCUGUACUCAGGACUUGUGACAACUAUGACAACGCAUCUAAAAGAAAUAUCAAAAUCAAUAGAGGCAGCCCAAGGAAGUUUAUUUUUGGAAGAGCUUAAUAGAAAAUGGGCAGAUCAUAACAAGGCAUUGCAGAUGAUCCGAGAUAUAUUGAUGUACAUGGACAGGACUUUUAUCCCCAGUACACACAAGACCCCCGUUCAUGAGCUUGGUUUGAACCUUUGGAGGGACAAUAUCAUCCACUCAAGCAAAAUUCAGAAUAGACUUCGUGAUACACUUCUUGAACUUGUCCACAGAGAACGGACUGGUGAAGUUAUAAAUCGAGGGUUGAUGAGAAAUAUAAUAAAGAUGCUAAUGGAAUUAGGUUCUUCUGUCUAUCAAGAAGAUUUUGAGAAGCCAUUUCUUGAGGUCUCCUCCAAUUUCUACAGUCUUGAGUCUCAGCAGUUUAUAGAGUGCUGUGAUUGUGGCGAUUAUCUUAAGAAAGCUGAGAGACGUCUAAAUGAAGAAAUGGAGAGAGUAUCACACUAUUUGGAUGCCAAGAGUGAAGCUAAGAUAACUAAUGUGGUGGAAAAAGAGAUGAUUGCAAACCACAUGCAGAGAUUAGUGCACAUGGAGAACUCGGGCCUGGUGAGCAUGCUUGUGGAUGACAAGUAUGAUGAUUUGAAGAGAAUGUACAGCUUGUUUCGCCGCGUUCCUGAUGGGCUCUUGACUAUAAGAGAUGUCAUGACUGCGCAUAUUCGGGAAACCGGCAAACAGUUAGUUACUGACCCAGAGAGAUUAAAGGAUCCUGUGGACUUUGUCCAGAGGCUCCUAGAUGAAAAAGAUAAACACGAUAAGAUAAUCAGCUUGGCCUUCAGCAAUGACAAGACAUUCCAGAAUGCUUUGAAUUCCUCCUUUGAGUACUUCAUUAACUUGAAUCCAAGGUCCCCUGAGUUUAUUUCCUUGUUUGUAGAUGACAAGCUCCGUAAAGGCUUGAAGGGUGUGAGUGAGGAGGAUGUAGAGAUCAUCCUGGACAAGGUGAUGAUGCUAUUCCGUUACUUACAAGAGAAGGAUGUUUUUGAGAAAUACUACAAGCAACACCUAGCGAAGCGGCUCUUGUCAGGAAAAACUGUAUCUGAUGAUGCUGAGAGAAGUCUGAUUGUUAAGCUGAAGACAGAAUGUGGAUAUCAAUUUACUUCCAAAUUGGAGGGUAUGUUCACAGACAUGAAGACAUCUCAGGAUACAAUGCAAGGUUUCUAUGCUAGCCAGGCUGCUGACACUGGGGAUAGCCCUACACUUGCAGUCCAAGUUCUCACAACAGGGUCUUGGCCAACCCAACCGAGUGCCGCUUGUAACCUGCCAGCUGAGAUACUGGGGGUGUGUGAGAAAUUCCGAACCUAUUAUCUCGGAACACACACUGGGAGGAGAUUAUCAUGGCAAACAAAUAUGGGGACAGCUGAUCUCAAAGCGACAUUUGGGAAGGGUCAGAAGCAUGAGUUGAAUGUUUCUACGUAUCAGAUGUGUAUCCUCAUGUUGUUCAAUAACAGUGAUAGGUUGAGCUAUAAGGAGAUUGAGCAGGCCACUGAGAUUCCAGCCUCAGAUUUGAAGAGGUGCAUGCAGUCCUUGGCAUGUGUGAAGGGGAAGAAUGUCCUUAGGAAGGAGCCCAUGAGCAAGGACAUUGGUGAAGAUGAUACCUUCUUCUUCAAUGACAAGUUCACAAGCAAGUUCUACAAGGUGAAGAUAGGUACUGUAGUUGCACAAAAGGAGUCUGAGCCAGAAAAGCAGGAGACCCGACAGAGGGUUGAAGAAGACAGGAAGCCCCAGAUUGAGGCUGCAAUUGUGAGGAUCAUGAAAUCGAGGCGUGUCUUGGAUCACAACAACAUUGUUGCUGAGGUCACAAAGCAGUUGCAAUCACGGUUCCUGCCCAAUCCUGUUGUCAUCAAGAAACGGAUUGAGUCCCUCAUUGAACGGGAGUUCUUGGAAAGGGACAAAACAGACCGGAAAUUGUAUCGAUAUCUUGCCUGAAAGCACUACUUUGCUGUUUUCUUUUCUCCUGUCAGGGCUAGGCCUUGCAGGUAGUUGUAUUCUCCAUUUGUCCUUGAUCUUUGUUGUUGAGGAAGUUACUGUAGAAGCUUCCUUGCAUCAGAAAAUGCUACUAUUUCCUUGAUAUUCUUCAAACAAGCUGCUUCCAAUCCUCUGAUGAGGGCCCGCCAUUCUCCAUCUGUGCGCCUCCUUGCCUUGCAUUGCUCACCUGCUGCUGUGAAUGCUUUACAAGAUCUAUUCAUUAGAACAUAGCCAGUUGCUGUUGCACCAGUAGUAGGCCUUAAAGGAUCCAUCUACUUAUAAGUACUUAAGUAGAACUCUGAUCUGUUUAUUUGCAGAUUUUGGCUGUUAUUUUGCUAUUUCUCUGUACUAUUUUUUUGUGUUUUCAAAUAGUCUUUGAUUGUGAAAAACUGCAACAUUUGCCUUUCUUUUUUUC